UGACGCGAACAGUUAUCACAUGACUCAGGAUAAAAUAAUAAGAUUACAAAGGAUAUAUUCCAUUGAAUUGAAUCUAAACGAAAUAAAUUUAAAAUGCAAUGUAACAACUAACAACGGCAAUUUAAAAAUGGCGUCUCUCGUCUUCGUUUAAAUGUAGUUCCAAGUAAGUGAAGCAAACAAUUCAAAUAAGGGAUCACCUCGUAUGGAUAUAAAAUUUUUCGUUCCCACGUAAAUGUUUUUUUUUUUU